GACGAACGCUGGCGGCGUGCUUAACACAUGCAAGUCGAACGGAAAGGCCCUGCUUUUGUGGGGUGCUCGAGUGGCGAACGGGUGAGUAACACGUGUGUAACCUGCCCUUGACUUUGGGAUAACUUCAGGAAACUGGGGCUAAUACCGGAUAGGAGCUCCUGCUGCAUGGUGGGGGUUGGAAAGUUUCGGCGGUUGGGGAUGGACUGGCGGCUUAUCAGCUUGUUGGUGGGGUAGUGGCUUACCAAGGCUUUGACGGGUAGCCGGCCUGAGAGGGUGACCGGCCACAUUGGGACUGCGAUACGGCCCAGACUCCUACGGGAGGCAGCAGUGGGGAGUAUUGCACAAUGGGCGGAAGCCUGAUGCAGAAACGCCGCGUGCGGGAUGACGGCCUGCGGGUUGUAAACCGCUUUAGCCUGUGACGAAGCGUGAGUGACGGUAAUGGGUAAAGAAGCACCGGCUAACUACGUG
rnacentral:rRNA from 1 species